rnacentral:misc_RNA from 1 species
GAUGAAGAACGCAGCGAAAUGCGAUAAGUAAUGUGAAUUGCAGAAUUCAGUGAAUCAUCGAAUCUUUGAACGCACAUUGCGCCCGCCAGUAUUCUGGCGGGCAUGCCUGUCUGAGCGUCAUUUCAACCCUCAUGCCCCUAGGGCGUGGUGUUGGGGAUCGGCCAAAGCCCGCGAGGGACGGCCGGCCCCUAAAUCUAGUGGCGGACCCGUCGUGGCCUCCUCUGCGAAGUAGUGAUAUUCCGCAUCGGAGAGCGAUGAGCCCCUGCCGUUAAACCCCCAACUUUCCAAGGUUGACCUCGAAUCAGGUAGGAAUACCCGCUGAACUUAAGCAUAUCAAUAAGCGGAGGA